rnacentral:rRNA from 1 species
AUGAUGGCCGCUUUUCUCCUGCUCGUGCUCGGCUCGCUGGCCCCCGCCGCCCUCUCCGUCCCGCCCCGCCCGCCAGUGCGCUGCGGCGGCGACGGCGAUGGCGACGCGGGCUGCGUGCUCUCCAACGCGUACGGCGCGUGGUCGAGCGACCGCGCCGACUGCCCCGUGGCGGCCGUCGCGUACCCGGCGUCCGAGCGGGACGUGGUCGCGGCCGUCGCGCGUGCCAGCGCGGGCGGCAUGCGGGUCAAGGCCGUCAGCGGCUUCGCGCACACCAUCCCGAAGCUGGCCUGCCCCGGCGGGAACGGCAGCGCGGCGUCUCUGCUGAUCAGCACGGCGAGGUACGCCGGCGUGGAGGUGGACGCGGCGGCGCGGACGGUGACCGCGGACGCCGGCGCCCCGCUGCGGGCCGUGAUCGACGCGGCGGAGGCGAGCGGGCUGAGCCUGCCGGCGUCGCCCUACUGGGAGGGGGUGAGCGUCGGCGGGGCUGUGAGCACGGGGUCCCACGGCAGCUCGUGGUGGGGCCAGGGCGGCGCCUUGCAUGAUCAUGUCGUGCGGCUCAGCCUUGUCGUGCCCGCCGGAGUUGCCGACGGGUGGGCCAGGGUGGUGCCGCUCGCCAAAGGUGACGCGCUCUUUCCAGCGGCGCUCGUCUCGCUCGGCCUGCUCGGGGUCAUUUCCAAGGUCACUCUGGCGCUGGAGCCGAGGUUCAAGAGAAGCGUGACCUACGACUACAGGGACGACUCCACCUUCCAGGACGACUUCGCGGACCACGCCGCGCGCCACGAGUUCGCCGACAUCGCCUGGUACCCGUCCCAGCACCAGGCCGUGUACAGGCUCGACGACCGCGCGCCGCUCAACGCCACCGGCGCCGGGGUCAACGACUUCAUCGGCUUCCGCUCCACGCUCAUCGCGGUCUCCCAGGGGGUCAGGGCGCUGGAGACCGCGUUGGAGGGGUCGAGGAACGUGAAGGGCAAGUGCGCGAUGGCCACGGCGGAGAUCGCGGCGAAGCGGCUGAUCGGCAACGGGCUGCGCCGAAAGGACGGGCAGCUGUUCACCGGCUACCCCGUCGUGGGGUUCCAGGGCAAGAUGCAGACGUCGGGCUCCUGCGCGCGCCCGCCGGCCUCCAGCCCGCUCACGGCGUGCGCGUGGGACCCCAGGUUCAAGGGGCUCUUCUUCUACGAGAGCACGGCCAUCUUCUCGCCGGCGCGGUUCCAGUCCUUCAUCCUCGACGUGAAGAAGCUGCGCGACCUCAACCCGGACAGCAUGUGCGGCGUGGACGUCUACAACGGCCUCCUGGUCCGGUUCGUGCGGAGGUCGGAGGCGUGGCUGGGGCAGCCGGAGGACUCAGUGGUGGUGGACUUCAACUACUACCGCGCGGCGGACCCAUCGGCGGCGCGGCUGAGCCAGGACGUCUGGGAGGAGGUGGAGCAGCUGGCGUUCUUCAAGCACGGGGCGCGGCCGCACUGGGCCAAGAACAGGAUGGUGGCCUUCCGGGGCGUGCAGGGGAAGUACCUGGGAUGGGCCAAGUUCGCCGCGGCCAAGCGGCAGCUGGACCCGCGGGGACUGUUCGACAGCCCGUGGUCCGACGACGUCGUCGGCGGCAAGGAGCUCAGCAAGGACGACGGGUGCGCGCUGGACGGGCGGUGCGUCUGCUCGGAGGACAGACACUGCAGCCCGGGGCAAGGGUACUACUGCAGAACGGGGCUUGUGUUUACAGAGGCCAGGGUAUGCAGAUACUCUGCCUCGCAGCUUGUAUAG